rnacentral:rRNA from 1 species
AUACGGAGGGUGCAAGCGUUAAUCGGAAUUACUGGGCGUAAAGCGCACGUAGGCGGAUUAAAAAGUUAGAGGUGAAAUCCCAGGGCUUAACCCUGGAACUGCCUUUAAAACUAGUAGUCUAGAGAUCGAGAGAGGUGAGUGGAAUUCCAAGUGUAGAGGUGAAAUUCGUAGAUAUUUGGAGGAACACCAGUGGCGAAGGCGGCUCACUGGCUCGAUACUGACGCUGAGGUGCGAAAGCGUGGGGAGCAAACAGGAUUAGAUACCCCAGUAGUCC